GAGGAACUCUGAUGCAGCGAUGCCGCGUGAGUGAAGAAGGCCCUUGGGUUGUAAAGCUCUUUCGUCGGGGAAGAAAAUGACUGUACCCGAAUAAGAAGGUCCGGCUAACUUCGUGCCAGCAGCCGCGGUAAUACGAAGGGACCUAGCGUAGUUCGGAAUUACUGGGCUUAAAGAGUUCGUAGGUGGUUAAAAAAGUUGGUUGUGAAAUCCCGGAGCUUAACUCCGGAACUGCAAUCAAAACUUUUUAGCUAGAGUAUGAUAGAGGAAAGCAGAAUUUCUAGUGUAGAGGUGAAAUUCGUAGAUAUUAGAAAGAAUACCAAUUGCGAAGGCAGCUUUCUGGAUCAUUACUGACACUGAGGAACGAAAGCAUGGGUAGCGAAGAGGAUUAGAUACCCUCGUAGUCCAUGCCGUAAACGAUGUGUGUUAGACGUUGGAAAUUUAUUUUUAGUGUCGCAGCGAAAGCAAUAAACACACCGCCUGGGGAGUACGACCGCAAGGUUAAAACUCAAAUGAAUUGACGGGGACCCGCACAAGUAGUGGAGCAUGUGGUUUAAUUCGAAGAUACGCGCAGAACCUUACCAACACUUGACAUGUUCGUCGCGACUCUAAGAGAUUAGAGUUUUCGGUUCGGCCGGACGAAACACAGGUGCUGCAUGGCUGUCGUCAGCUCGUGUCGUGAGAUGUUGGGUUAAGUCCCGCAACGAGCGCAACCCUCACUUUUAGUUGCCAUCAUUUAGUUGGGCACUCUGAAAGAACUGCCAGUGAUAAGCUGGAGGAAGGUGGGGAUGACGUCAAGUCCUCAUGGCCCUUACGUGUUGGGCUACACACGUGCUACAAUGGUAUUUACAAUAGGAAGCAAGAUGGCGACAUCAAGCAAAUCCUAAAAUGAUGCCUCAGUUCGGAUUGUACUCUGCAACUCGAGUACAUGAAGCUGGAAUUACUAGUAAUCGCGGAUCAGCGCGCCGCGGUGAAUGCGUUCCCGGUCUUGUACACACCGCCCGUCACA
rnacentral:rRNA from 1 species